UGAUGAGACGUCUCCGGAAUCGCUGUACUGCGUUGAUGAUUCCCUUGAACCCUUGUCUGUCUGAUGGCUGCGGCAGUUCCAGC
rnacentral:snoRNA from 1 species